GUUUAAAAUAAUUAAGCUACAUUAACUGGAUGAAAAACAUUUGAGUGGUAUUUUGAAAUACUAGGGGGAUGUCAGCAUCUUGUUGGGUAUAAAUCUAAAGUGGUCGUUUACAGUCCUGGAAGUUUAGGGUCUUUAAAAUUGUUGAAUUAGCAGAGGUUUUGGCUGAGGGGCGACAUGUAGUUGAAGUUAUAUUUGAUUUAGGACUAUAACAUCUGGGAUACACACUUUUCAGAGAGGGAUACUUGAAAUAUUAUAUAAGUAUUAGCACCGAAAUUUAGUUAACAUAUAAAUUGGAGAUCUUAUUUGGUUGGAGAAUAUCAGGAUUUUUUUUAGAAAAUUAAGUUAAUCGAGGGGCUAGUGUUGGAGUGUUCAUGGUUAAAUUAUGAUUUUUUAGAGCUCAAUUUAAGUAUCUUGUUUUUGGGGGUCGGCAAGAGUACCUCUUACCUAAUUUAACAAUAAAGUCAGAGAUGGGGUGAGGGCAGAUUUUCGGAUUUAAUCGGAAGCAGCCCUUUAAAUGGUGCGUGAACGUACGUGUGUGCGUGAAAGGACGUGUGCGUGAACGUACGUGUGUGCGUGAACGUCUAUUGAUUGUUACGCCCUUCAAGCAUGAAUGAAUUAGCACAUUAUGGUUGGGUAUGCUGGCUCAGAAUAUUCAAGAUAAGUCCAGCUACAAUCGAUUCCACAGGGACCAGGCUCCCGCCAUGGCAAAUUGUCCUCAAAAAGAACUCUACUAAUUUGUAUGCUCAGUGAAUUCGAGUGUGUUAUUCUUAUGCUGAAUUUAAGCACUACACUUAACCAUCUACUUAUGGUACUGAAUGAAUAUCGAUUUUAUUGUUUCCAACCACUGAAUGGUAUGAUGAUCUACCAUAUGAGCACCCACUUGCAUGAAAGGUAAUUUUGGCUGGUGUGCUGAAUAGAGGAGAACCAGGGAAACAAACAAACAAAAAAAGCGCACUGAAAUAUUUCAAGUUACAAAGAAACAUUAUUUGUACCUUACUGGCUUUUCAGUGAAAAUCAUAAAAAUAGGCCAUAAUCUGCAUAUGUUUUGAGUGAUUUCAUGAUUGGACAGCUACAUAUGAGAGACAAAAACAGCAAUUAAAGGUGAUGCCUGGGUGCUGGAGCUGAGCAUAUAAAAGAAUGGAGUAGUCAUCAGAUGAGGUGGAGACAGUCGCAGAUGAAGCAGGUUUCGUGGAUUCACUAGGGGUGCUACCGGGGCAAUGUGAAAUCUGAGGCACUUUUUAAGUAUACACAUGGAGAUGGGGAGUGGGCAGUUGAUGUCUGAUGUUCAAGUGUGAAAUUCAGGAGAGAAGUCUUAGCUGAACCUAGGCAUUUUGGAGUCACUGAUCUAUUGAACGCACCUACAGUGAGGUGUGUUCAAUAACUGAGAAGUACCUAGGACAGAAUCCUGAGAUACUUCAACAUUAAAAAGUGGUACAAAUCAAGAGAUUCCAGUAAAAAACACAGUGUCAAGUGAAUUAGGAUAAAAACAUAAUGUCAAGUAAAGAAAAAACUUUUAAAAGGAGAUGGUGAUUCACCAUGCCAAAUAUUUCUUAUAGGUUAACAAGCAGAGAGCUUAAAAUUGUCCAUUGGGUUUGUCGUAAUGCAGAUCAUCCAUGAUUAAGAGAAGAUGAGCUUUAGUGCAGUGAUAGCAAGGAAGUCUGAUCAUAGAGUUGUAAGAGGGAAUGAGACUAGAGGAAACUACUUAAAAAUUGUGAUUUCCAGUAUGUUAAUCACUCUGCAUUUGUGAUAGCUGGGAGUAGAGUAACAUACGUGUCCAUUAUUAGAGCAUAUGUGCAUAUUGUAAACCAUCCUUACAUUUCUGGCGUAAGUCUUCAAUAUUUUAAUAUGUUUUUUAAU